CCUACGGGGUGCAGCAGUAGGGAAUCUUCGGCAAUGGACGAAAGUCUGACCGAGCAACGCCGCGUGAGUGAAGAAGGUUUUCGGAUCGUAAAACCCUGUUGUUAGAGAAGAACAAGGACGUUAGUAACUGAACGUCCCCUGACGGUAUCUAACCAGAGAGCCACGGCUAACUACGUGCCAGCAGCCGCGGUGAUACGUAGGUGGCAAGCGUUGUCCGGAUUUAUUGGGCGUAAAGCGAGCGCAGGCGGUUUCUUAAGUCUGAUGUGAAAGCCCCCGGCUCAACCGGGGAGGGUCAUUGGAAACUGGGCGACUUGAGUACAGAAGAGGAGAGUGGAAAUCCAUGUGUAGCGGUGAAAUGCGUAGAUAUAUGGAGGAACACCAGUGGCGAAGGCGGCUCUCUGGUCUGUAACUGACGCUGAGGCUCGAAAGCGUGGGGAGCAAACAGGAUUAGAUACCCGUGUAGUC
rnacentral:rRNA from 1 species